UAAAUGUUAGAUCUUCUAAAUAUUUAUAUUUGAUAUAAAGGGCUAAUCACUUGUAUAAUUGUAUAUAGGUGGAGAAGCCAAGUAGAAGAUGAACAAGCAAGGAAAAUGUGGUGAAGGGUUCGGCCACUAUGUUUUUUGCUAACUACUUAGGAAGUUUGUUAGGCAUUAAAGAUUGUCUUUAAACUUUCUUAUUUUGUUAAGAACUUAUUAUGUGG
rnacentral:lncRNA from 1 species